rnacentral:tRNA from 1 species
AAAUUUUUUAGUAUAACCGUACAUCUAGCUUCCAACUAGAAAGUCUAAAUAAUUAGAAAAAUU